rnacentral:rRNA from 3 species
UGAGCUUGAUCCUGGCUCAGGAUGAACGCUAGCGGCAGGCUUAACACAUGCAAGUCGAGGGGUAUGCUUCUUCGGGAGCAGAGACCGGCGCACGGGUGCGUAACGCGUAUGCAAUCUACCUUUUACAGAGGGAUAGCCCAGAGAAAUUUGGAUUAAUACCUCAUAGUAUAAUAGCUCGGCAUCGAGCAAUUAUUAAAGUCACAACGGUAAAAGAUGAGCAUGCGUCCCAUUAGCUAGUUGGUAAGGUAACGGCUUACCAAGGCUACGAUGGGUAGGGGUCCUGAGAGGGAGAUCCCCCACACUGGUACUGAGACACGGACCAGACUCCUACGGGAGGCAGCAGUGAGGAAUAUUGGACAAUGGGCGCAAGCCUGAUCCAGCCAUGCCGCGUGCAGGAUGACGGUCCUAUGGAUUGUAAACUGCUUUUGUACAGGAAGAAACAGUUCUACGUGUAGAACCUGACGGUAC